AUUGAACGCUGGCGGCAGGCCUAACACAUGCAAGUCGAACGAGUGGCGGACGGGUGAGUAAUGUCUGGGAAACUGCCUGAUGGAGGGGGAUAACUACUGGAAACGGUAGAUAAUACCGCAUACCAUCGGAUGUGCCCAGAUGGGAUUAGCUAGUAGGUGGGGUAAAGGCUCACCUAGGCGACGAUCCCUAGCUGGUCUGAGAGGAUGACCAGCCACACUAGAACGUAGACACGGUCCAGACUCCUACGGGAGGCAUAAGUGGUGAAAAUUGCACAAUGGGCGCAAGCCUGAUGCAGCAGUGCCGCGUGUAUUAAGAAGGCCUUAGGGUUGGAAAGUACUUUCAGCGGGGAGGCGGUACCCGCAGAAGAAACACCGGCUAACUCCGUGCCAGCAGCCGCGGUAAUUC
rnacentral:rRNA from 1 species